GACGAACGCUGGCGGCGUGCUUAACACAUGCAAGUCGAACGAAGAGCGAUGGAAGCUUGCUUCUAUCAAUCUUAGUGGCGAACGGGUGAGUAACGCGUAAUCAACCUGCCCUUCAGAGGGGGACAACAGUUGGAAACGACUGCUAAUACCGCAUACGAUCUAAUCUCGGCAUCGAGGAUAGAUGAAAGGUGGCCUCUACAUGUAAGCUAUCACUGAAGGAGGGGAUUGCGUCUGAUUAGCUAGUUGGAGGGGUAACGGCCCACCAAGGCGAUGAUCAGGAGCCGGGCGGAGAGGAUGAACGGCCACAUUGGGACUGAGACACGGCCCAGACUGCUACGGGAGGAAGCAGGGGGGAAUCUUCCGCAAUGGACGAAAGUCUGACGGAGCAACGCCGCGGGAGGGAGGACGGCCGUCGGGUUGUAAAGCUCUGUUAAUCGGGACGAAAGGCCUUCUUGCGAAUAGUGAGAAGGAUUGACGGUACCGGAAUAGAAAGCCACGGCUAACUACGUG
rnacentral:rRNA from 1 species